rnacentral:rRNA from 1 species
CACGUAGGGUGCGAGCGUUGUCCGGAAUUAUUGGGCGUAAAGAGCUCGUAGGCGGUGUGUCGCGUCGGCCGUGAAGACCUGCAGCUUAACUGUGGGCUUGCGGUCGAUACGGGCAUCACUGGAGUUCGGCAGGGGAGACUGGAAUUCCUGGUGUAGCGGUGAAAUGCGCAGAUAUCAGGAAGAACACCCGUGGCUAAGGCGGUUCUCUGGGCCUGUACUGACGCUGGAGGAGCGAAAAGCGUGGGGAGCAAACAGG